GCUCACCUGACAGGCUGAAAGAGGAGGGAGGCUCCUGUUCCAUCAGGCAGAUAAGCCCACUAUACCCCUGCCCCCAACUGGUAAUUACAACUAAGGCUCCUGGGCAAAAUACAAAACAGUGAUUUGAGGAUUUUGAGAAGUAAACAAGAACAGGCAGAUUGCAGAGUGGAGUUAAAACUUGGAGAAAUGACCUUACACAGCAGUGGGUCCCAGUCAUGGAGUCCCUAAAACUUUAAUGGAAACUCCAUCCUUCUUGCUAGAGGAACUAGAAAAGGGAUCCCCCAAAGAUUAAAAAGGGAGCAGAUAAUUGCGGAGGAAAAAACCAAGAGGACCCCUUCUAAUUCUGUGUAUGAAUCCACACAGCCUCACCCCUGAACUACCCAUGCAAAGGACAGACACAAACCGGUUCCUCACCCUGUAGGCUCUGCCAAGGCCUGAGUAUGAUGCUGUGGGUGAUUCACUGCCCAGAACGUCAUGAGGGCCUGGGUCAGGACCAGCCUGGUUAAUCCAGGGUUACCCUGGACACCAUGCUCAGCAUAGAGGUUGGACUUUUGGGUGGAUCCAAGAAGAAAUGGUGGAGAAACUGUCACCACACUUUGAGAAGUUUGAAAUUUCCCUUAGACUUUCCUAAAAAGUGAUUUUGAAGAGGCAAGGGGUGGGGCCAGAAAGCAGGGCCCCCCCCAAUUCUGGGAGCGAGGCACGGAAGGAUGGCACAUACACCCACCUGCUAGAGGAAGCCUCCAGCCCAAUGCUACGUCGUCCGUCUGUCUGUAGAUGGGAAAUAACCACUGCAGUUUCCCUGGGUGGCCCUAAGGGUUAAAUGAGAGAGCGCCUGCCUAUCACAGUGCUUACUUGUGGCCACUUGUUCUGUAUUAGGUAAAUCUGGACCUGUAAACAGGUGAAAUUUGACAAAGGACAUGUGCUUAUCAUCAUGGAGUGGCCAUUGUGGCUUUUCAAUAUGGCAGUAUUGACUGAGGCUGGUCUGUGGACUGGCUUCCGGACGCGAUCCUUUUCCUUUCUUCCUGUGCUUGAUUGACCUCCAUAGUAGAAUUAUACUGAAUUCAAACACAUCCCACUGCUUACAGUCUGAAACUACCCUGCAAAAUCAAGCUGAGUCCAUCUUGGGGCUGGUCCUCAGCCUUCAUGCUGGUGGCCGGUCUGGAAGCCCUGGAAGGAAGCCUCUCCCUCCGGCUUCUAGGCCUGUUCCAGAAAUAGAUGCUCACGUACACAUGCUCCAGAAACGCAGACCCGAAGACAAUUUUUUCUGAAGACUCUUCAGCUUCCUAAAAUGUGCCUGGGUUUUGAAAGAAGGUAAAGAGAUGGUUUUAAUCUUGGCCAAACUGAGGGAAAUCGUCACAAUGAGACCAUGACUUAUCAGUGCAAUUGUUUAUCAAUAGUAAAAUAACUCAAAGAAAAGUUCAUGGCCAGUGUUAGGUGUGGGGUGCAUACUUGGUAAGUGCUGACUGUGUGUUCACGCUUUGAAGAGGCCAGAGGCCUCCAGGUUUGCCCAUCUGGGAUUAGCAUGAGCUGGCUUCCCUCGCUUGGGGGGAGCACUUCGGAGGCUGCCAAAGUGUGCUCUCUUCCAGGCCUCAUUACAGACUCACGAGGACUGGGUGAGGCCAUAUUAUUAUUCUUCUCUUCUAGAGGAGAAGGAAGAGGCUUGAAGGAGAUUGUGAGUUGCCCAAACCAGUAACAGCAGUGGCAGAGCCAUGGUGAGACAGCCACGAUGGUCAUUACCAGCAGCCACAAGAAGGGCAAUAUUUAUCAAGCUGUUUCGUCUAGCCAGCACCAUGGUGGGUCAGCCCUGUGAGGAAGAGCAGCAUUCCCUGCAGACCAGGAGGCGGAGUGCAGGGUGGUGGGAAUCUGCUCAGUGAGAGGCGGAGGUGGGGCUGGGAGCUGGGCUCCUUGCUCUCCACACCCCCACUCUGGACACCUGCCCCCAGUGUCUUAGCUUUCUCCCCAUGGCCCUGUGAGUCUCUCUUCCUGCUGAGCCAAGGGCCCUGCAGAGGCUCUUUCCCAUGUAUUGGUGGCACAUUCUGAUGGCUACUUCCAGCUGGAGGACACCUACGAGGACGGAAAGUUGAAGCAACAAAAGGAUUUUGACAUUUCAUUCUAACUGGGAGAGGCUGAACCAACAGAUAGGGGUGUGUGUGUGUGUGUGUGUGUGUGUGUGUGUGUGUGAAAGAGAGAGAGUGGGAAAGAGACAGAGACUGAGUCUGCCAUCCCCUAAGAUCUCUGAACGUGUGUACUCUAGCAAGUGUGACUGUCUCAAAGCCUAGUUGUAGCUUCCAUUGCCCAGCAGCCUUACAGAUGACAAGAGCAGGCAUGGUUUGAAGACAUGAAAAGUAGCCACGCACAGUGGCUCAUGCCUGUAAUCCCAGCACUUUGG
rnacentral:lncRNA from 10 species